UUUGGUGAAGAUUUCUUUACUUUCUUAGUUGAAAGUACACCUUCAUCAUACAAGGAAGCUAUGAGUUCUUCUGAAGCUUCUUUUUGGAAGGAGGCCAUAAACAGUGAGAUCGAGUCAAUUAUUGGCAACAACACUUGGAUUCUCACUGAUUUACCCCCUGGAAACCAACCUUUAGGAUGUAAGUGGAUCUUUAAAAAGAAGCUUAGAACUGACGGAUCGGUAGAGAAGUAUAAGGCGCGGCUUGUAGCUCAAGGUUUUCGACAAAAAGCUGAAGUUGAUUACUUUGACACAUAUGCGCCUGUUGCUCGUAUUGCUACGAUCCGAGUCAUUCUUGCAUUAGCAUCUAUUCAUAAGCUUUUGAUUCAUCAGAUGGAUGUCAAAACUGCUUUUCUUCUUGGAGAUCUUGAAGAAGAAAUCUAUAUGACUCAACCUGAAGGUUUCUCUGUGCCUGGUCAAGAGAAUAAGGUGUGUAAAUUAGUCCGUUCUCUAUAUGGACUAAAACAAGCACCUAAGCAGUGGCACGAGAAAUUUGACAGUGUUAUUGAAUCAUAUGGAUUUCAAACAAACGAUUUUGACAACUGUCUCUAUUUCAAGAGAUUUGAUGAUCGUUGUGUUCUUCUUUGCCUCUAUGUUGAUGACAUCCUGAUCCUUGCACCUGAUCUUGAUCUGAUCAACCAAGUUAAAUCCUUUUUAUCCACUCAUUUUGAUAUGAAGGAUCUUGGUGAAGCAAAUGUGAUUUUAGGAAUAAAAAUUCUUAGAUCAUCAGAUUCUAUUCUUCUGACCCAAUCUCAUUAUACCCAAAUGGUUCUUGACAAAUUUGGAUAUUCUGAUUGCACUCCUGUUUCUACUUCUUAUGAUCCUAGUGUUCAACUUGUGAAGAACACUGGUAAUCCUGUAAAUCAGGAGAGAUAUGCCCAGAUUAUUGGUUCUUUGANACGCACCAGAAGCCAACUCUACUCCGUGGCUUCCCCGGAAAACCGGAGUUACUAUUCACUUAAGUGAAAACUGAAAGUCGCGUAUCUUCUCCAUUUUAGCUCAUUUUCGCCCGAAACUUGACGAGUGCUUAUGUAAUUAAAUUACACACAUAAACAUCAUCAACAGAGAAUUUAGUAGCACUGUCAAAAAAAAAUCUCAGUCCUUACACUCUUUGUAUGGACUAAAACAAGCACCUAAGCAGUGGCACGAGAAAUUCGACAGUGUUAUU
rnacentral:lncRNA from 1 species